AUUCCUUGAUAUGGGCACUUCCUUUGCAACUCUUUGAAACAUUCCCAUGCCUCAUAUAAGGACUCCCCAUCCAACUAAUGAAUGUUAUUAAUCUCUCCUCUAUAUC